CAAGCCAAAUUAAGGUGAAACCGCGAAAGGCUCAUUAAAUCAGUUAUGGUUCSUUAGAUCGUACCCACAAUUACUUGGAUAACUGUGGUAAUUCUAGAGCUAAUACAUGCAAACAGAGCUCCGACCGGAGACGGAAGGAGUGCUUUUAUUAGAUCAAAACCAAUCGGUGGCGGGUUCGCGCUCGUCAUCGUACAACUUGGUGACUCUGAAUAACUUUACGCUGAUCGCACGGUCAUCGCACCGGCGACGCAUCUUUCAAAUGUCUGCCUUAUCAACUGUCGAUGGUAGGUUCUGCGCCUACCAUGGUUGUAACGGGUAACGGGGAAUCAGGGUUSGAUUCCGGAGAGGGAGCCUGAGAAACGGCUACCACAUCCAAGGAAGGCAGCAGGCGCGCAAAUUACCCACUCCCGGCACGGGGAGGUAGUGACGAAAAAUAACGAUACGGGACUCAUCCGAGGCCCCGUAAUCGGAAUGAGUACACUCUAAACCCUUUAACGAGGAUCAAUUGGAGGGCAAGUCUGGUGCCAGCAGCCG
rnacentral:rRNA from 1 species